CCAAUAGCGUAUAUUAAAGUUGUUGCAGUUAAAAAGCUCGUAGUUGAAUUUCGGGGUUAGUAGGUUGGUCAUGCCUCUGGUAUGUACUGGUCUCACUGAUUCCUCCUUCCUGAUGAACCGUAAUGCCAUUAAUUUGGUGUUGCGGGGAAUUUGGACUGUUACUUUGAAAAAAUUAGAGUGUUUCAAGCGAGCUAACGCUUGAAUACAUUAGCAUGGAAUAAUGAAAUAGGACGUUCGAUCCUAUUUUGUUGGUUUCUAGGAUUGACGUAAUGAUUAAUAGGGAUAGUUGGGGGCAUUAGUAUUCAAUUGUAAGAGGUGAAAUUCUUGGAUUUAUUGAAGACUAACUACUGCGAAAGCAUUUGCCAAGGAUGUUUUCAUUAAUCAAGAACGAAAGGUAGGGGAUCGAAGACGAUCAGAUACCGUCGUAGUCUUAACCAUAAACUAUGCCGACUAGGGAUCGGAUGAUGUUAAUUUUUUAAUGACUCAUUCGGCGCCUUACG
rnacentral:rRNA from 1 species